AUAACAUGGCAGUACAGUUGACAGUUGAAGCUAUUCGCUGUUAAUCCUUCAUGCCUUGUUAGAGCAACAAAACGUCCCAUUUUACUACUAAUUUAGCGAUUUUGGGAUGUGCAAUGAGAAUGUUCGUCACGAUUGUGCAGCCUAAAUCGUGACUGCUGAUAGUUGCAUACAUUA